UGUGAGCUCGAUGAGUAGGGCGGGACACGUGGUAUCCUGUCUGAAUAUGGGGGGACCAUCCUCCAAGGCUAAAUACUCCUGACUGACCGAUAGUGAACCAGUACCGUGAGGGAAAGGCGAAAAGAACCCCGGCGAGGGGAGUGAAAAAGAACCUGAAACCGUGUACGUACAAGCAGUGGGAGCACGCUUAGGCGUGUGACUGCGUACCUUUUGUAUAAUGGGUCAGCGACUUAUAUUCUGUAGCAAGGUUAACCGAAUAGGGGAGCCGAAGGGAAACCGAGUCUUAACUGGGCGUUAAGUUGCAGGGUAUAGACCCGAAACCCGGUGAUCUAGCCAUGGGCAGGUUGAAGGUUGGGUAACACUAACUGGAGGACCGAACCGACUAAUGUUGAAAAAUUAGCGGAUGACUUGUGGCUGGGGGUGAAAGGCCAAUCAAACCGGGAGAUAGCUGGUUCUCCCCGAAAGCUAUUUAGGUAGCGCCUCGUGAAUUCAUCUCCGGGGGUAGAGCACUGUUUCGGCAAGGGGGUCAUCCCGACUUACCAACCCGAUGCAAACUGCGAAUACCGGAGAAUGUUAUCACGGGAGACACACGGCGGGUGCUAACGUCCGUCGUGAAGAGGGAAACAACCCAGACCGCCAGCUAAGGUCCCAAAGUCAUGGUUAAGUGGGAAACGAUGUGGGAAGGCCCAGACAGCCAGGAUGUUGGCUUAGAAGCAGCCAUCAUUUAAAGAAAGCGUAAUAGCUCACUGGUCGAGUCGGCCUGCGCGGAAGAUGUAACGGGGCUAAACCAUGCACCGAAGCUGCGGCAGCGACGCUUAUGCGUUGUUGGGUAGGGGAGCGUUCUGUAAGCCUGCGAAGGUGUGCUGUGAGGCAUGCUGGAGGUAUCAGAAGUGCGAAUGCUGACAUAAGUAACGAUAAAGCGGGUGAAAAGCCCGCUCGCCGGAAGACCAAGGGUUCCUGUCCAACGUUAAUCGGGGCAGGGUGAGUCGACCCCUAAGGCGAGGCCGAAAGGCGUAGUCGAUGGGAAACAGGUUAAUAUUCCUGUACUUGGUGUUACUGCGAAGGGGGGACGGAGAAGGCUAUGUUGGCCGGGCGACGGUUGUCCCGGUUUAAGCGUGUAGGCUGGUUUUCCAGGCAAAUCCGGAAAAUCAAGGCUGAGGCGUGAUGACGAGGCACUACGGUGCUGAAGCAACAAAUGCCCUGCUUCCAGGAAAAGCCUCUAAGCAUCAGGUAACAUCAAAUCGUACCCCAAACCGACACAGGUGGUCAGGUAGAGAAUACCAAGGCGCUUGAGAGAACUCGGGUGAAGGAACUAGGCAAAAUGGUGCCGUAACUUCGGGAGAAGGCACGCUGAUAUGUAGGUGAAGUCCCUCGCGGAUGGAGCUGAAAUCAGUCGAAGAUACCAGCUGGCUGCAACUGUUUAUUAAAAACACAGCACUGUGCAAACACGAAAGUGGACGUAUACGGUGUGACGCCUGCCCGGUGCCGGAAGGUUAAUUGAUGGGGU
rnacentral:rRNA from 1 species